GACGAACGCUGGCGGCGUGCUUAACACAUGCAAGUCGAACGGGCCCGCCCCUGUUUUUGGGGGGGGGUUGAGUGGCGACCGGGUGAGUAUCACGUGAGUAACCUGCCCCCUGCUCCUGGAUAACUGCUUGAAAGGGCGGCUAAUACGGGGUGUGCCGGCUGGUCCGCAUGGGCCUGGUCGGGAUAGUUUCCUCUUCGGGGGUUUCGGUGGGGGAUGGGCGCGCGGCCUAUCAGCUUGUUGGUGGGGUGAUGGCCCACCAAGGCGGUGACGGGUAGCCGGCGUGAGGGGGUGGGCGGCCACACGGGGGAUGAGACACGGCCCAGAGUCCUGCGGGAGGCAGCGGUGGGGGGUAUUGCACGAUGGGCGGAAGCCUGAUGCAGCGACGUCGCGUGAGGGAUGCAGGCCUGCGGGUUGGGAACCUCUUUCUCCGGUGGUGAAGGCCCUGUCCGUUGCGGCGGGGUUGACGGUAGCCGGGGAUGAAGCGCCGGCUAACUACGUG
rnacentral:rRNA from 1 species